GCCGAAUGGGCUUCUUGCUGGCGGGAUUGCACUAUUUUUAUUGCAAUUUAGCUCCGUCGUGUGAUCCUGAGUGAAAAGCACACUCUAAAAAUAAAUGGAUUAUACCCUCAAGUUCAGAGGCAGAAAUGGUCACACUGGAUCAAAGAAGCAAGACCCGACAGCAUGCUGUGCCCAGGAGACACACUUGGAAGACCCAGGGUGGUAGAAGGUACAAAGAUGGACAGGUUGGCUGAAUCUGUGAAUGAGAAACCUGUAGAUAUGGAGGGCCAAAUGUAUUAACAAGUCAAAUCCAGCAAUAUAACACAAGGAUUAUGCAUUAUGACCGAGGAAUAUUUAUCUCUAGAAUGCAAGAUUGGUUCAAUAUUCAAAAAUCAGUGAUUUUAUUUUUACCAUAUUAACGUAAAGGAGAAAUCUAUAUGAUCAUCUAAACAGAUGCAGACCGAAAAUUUCAAUUCGACUGGUACCUGGAUCUACCUCCGUGUCACGAAGGGCAUGGACAGAAAUCCUGCAGCUUCCCUCUAACAUUAUGAACUAGGCCAAGACAUGCUUUUGAUCUUGACAUAGGCAAAGAUUCCCUAGAAAAGGUACAAAAAGCGUUAACCCAAAAUUAACCCAAACUGGUAAAUUGGUAAGUUGUUCUUCAAUCAAAAUUUUAAAAGACCAUCAAAGCCACCUUUAGGAAAA
rnacentral:lncRNA from 10 species